UGAACCCGCGCCCGCGUGAUCCGUAUUAUUUUGCGGCCGACUGCAUAGUGUUUCUUUUGCCGCUGCGGGUGGCGUCUGCUCCGCCUGCGGCGAGGUCUUGCCAAUUGACGGCCGCCUGCUAAAGUGCGCCGAACUGCUAUGAACUGCAAACACGCCCAAACUCAUCCCAUGGGAUCCCGGCCGACGACGUGUCGCUCGAAGUCCGAGCAGGGAUCGACCUCCUCCAUGUACUGCGUCAUGGCGUCCAUUGCUCGUUCACAAGCAGAGGUAGAACACAGCUGGCGUAGCUGCGACGACGACGGGUUCCUGACAAAUCUGUCGGCCACGGUGGCGUGGUGGACGAGCACAUAAACGACGAUAUACGCGGCGACGCUCACUGCGCAUACGACGACCGCGGGUAUCAAGCAGCCCACCAGGCGGUACACCGAGCUGUGCGUCUUGGUAGCCAUUGACGAGCAAGGACUAAGGUCUGCGUUGUAACAAAGAGAAGGCUAAUGCAUUAAUUCCAUCACUUGCGGCUUGCAGUGCUUGAGUGAUCAUGUUGUUACGGAAGUGGUAUCUGUCAGUGGCAGAGUUCCCAGAUUCCGCUGAGCUAACAAGCAAAUAAUCAUC